UGAAUCAAAGCACUGGUUUCGUUUACAUGAAAAGUAAAACAAGCUUAUUUAAUUAAUAAAAGACGUGAAGUGAGUUCAAGUACAAGGAAUAAAGUUGGAAAGGGUUACAAACAAAGGUAGAGGGAGAGGAGAGAGACAAAGGAUGAGUGCUACAGCAACAGACUGAGUUUAUGAACAGAAUUUAUGAAAACCCCAGGAGACAAUUCAGAAAUUAGCUGAGGCUCCAUAGGCUGCCCCUCUGAACCAGGCUGAGAAGUACUUUAUUCCUUAAGAGGUGACACUGGGAUGAACCAAACAGCUUCCAGAGGAACAUACUACUCAAGCUGUACCAGGAUAGCAGAAUCUUACUGGCCUUAAGAGUAGUUUAAUUGAAACCAAUGCAACAAUUCAUUCAGCUAACAAUUUGUUCUCCUGAAGUUUUGAAAUUCUGCAAGAUAAUUGACCCUGAUUUGGAUUUUAUAAUUACAUAUGUGGUUCAAGAAAAUGUGGCAAAAUUGCGAAGCUUUCCCAAAAGGAAUCAGCAAAGGCUCCUCUGAAUUAAAGGAACAAAUGGUGAAUUGUUUGUCAAAAUGAAUUGAGAGCGUGCAUACCAGUGCUGGGGGGAAAAUUAGAAAUGUG